CUUUUGUCUGUCUAAUAUCCCUAAUCUCUCGACUAUGCUCAGUCUCCCCUGUGUCUCCUCUUCAGUUGCUCUGUCGCCCCAACAAUGACCGCCUUCGUCAUCUCAACCGCUCUCGAUAUCAUCAGGAAGAGAGGUCUAUGUCCCGUAGUUGAUCUUCGGACACCUCCUGACGAGUAGCAACUAUGAUAAUACGGUGAAGAAAACCACCGGUGGACGCAAAGGCUACGGUGCCAAGCUUACGAACAUCUUCUCCAUUGAAUUCAUCAUCGAGACGGCGGACGGAAUGCGACAGAAGAACUAUAAGCAGGUACAAAAUUGUGGAUUCUCUAAUUUACGUGAUGUUUAAUUUGUAUUUUAGGAUUUUACUAUUUUGUGGAAUUUAGGAACUAAGAUUUGGUCUUCUAUUUUAGGGUUUGGUGUGUAAAAAAUUGUGUAUUGUAGGGUUUCAAUGUUUGGUGGAAUUGCGGAAUUAGGAUUUGGUCUUCUAUUUGUGAUUGUUCAUUUGAAAUUUGAUGAAAUUUCGUUUUGUAAUCUGUGAUUUAUUGGGGAAUUGUAGGAUUAGGGUUUCAA